GCACUUUUCAGUGUCCCUUUGACAUGUUAUCACUUCAGGCAUGGUUUCUCUUGCCCUUGGGGCCAUUGUGAAGGGUAAUCUGAAUGUAAGCGCUGUCGUCACAAUGGCCACUGAGUGACUGAGGGUAUAUACAGUGCGGACCCGCUGGACACCAAUGAGUCACAUCCUGGAUGAGGCAGCACCCAGGCGGCAUGGCAGGAUUUCAUCACCCCAUUUAAGCAGUACGCUGUUUAGAAUGCUAGCCGUUGAUUCUGGGGCUUUUCCACUUGCUGCAUCGGACUGUGAGUGACCAAGAACAGUGAGACUACAGAAAGUGAGACUGCAAAGCAGAGGCCUAUUCUUCUCUCUCGGAGAGAUAAGUCAAGGCUACAGGGGUGAAUAAGCACACCCCAAGUAGAUGUCUCAAUUCCAGGAGCCUACCCAGGCCCUCUACAGCCUUCACAGAGGAUGUGCUCGGGCUUUCUAUCUCUCGUGUGGAAGAAGAGCAAGGAGCCACCAUAGACAGAUGGGAGAGAAGAAGUUCUUCACCCGUUCUCAGUGCUUCCAUGGGAGGCUGGGCCAGUUCCUGCAAAACAUCACUGUCAAUCCUGAGAAAGGCUAAAUUAAACCUUGAGAGCACAGCGUAUGGAAGAGGUGACCCUUGGCCCGUGCCUGCAUGCUCGGCAUGACCGGCAUGGUCUGUCUCCAUGGCCUUUGAACCGUGUUGGACUCAGUGAUUCCACUAAAGCCCCCACUGUAGCAGCCUCGUCAGGACACACCCAUGUCCCAAAC